rnacentral:rRNA from 1 species
GACGAACGCUGGCGGCGUGCUUAACACAUGCAAGUCGAACGGUAAGGCCCUUCGGGGUACACGAGUGGCGAACGGGUGGGUAACACGUGGGUGAUCUGCCCUGCACUUCGGGAUAAGCCUGGGAAACUGGGUCUAAUACCGGAUAGGACCACUGCCUGCAUGGGUGGUGGUGGAAAGCUUUUGCGGUGUGGGAUGGGCCCGCGGCCUAUCAGCUUGUUGGUGGGGUGAUGGCCUACCAAGGCGACGACGGGUAGCCGGCCUGAGAGGGUGACCGGCAACACUGGGAAUGAGAUACGGCCCAGACUCCUACGGGAGGCAGCAGUGGGGAAUAUUGCACAAUGGGCGCAAGCCUGAUGCAGCGACGCCGCGUGAGGGAUGACGGCCUUCGGGUUGUAAACCUCUUUCAGCACCGACGAAGCGCAAGUGACGGUAGGUGCAGAAGAAGGACUGGCCAACUACGUGCCAGCCGCCGCGGUAA